UACGUAGGGCGCAAGCGUUAUCCGGAAUUAUUGGGCGUAAAGAGCUCGUAGGCGGUUUGUCGCGUCUGCCGUGAAAGUCCGGGGCUCAACUCCGGAUCUGCGGUGGGUACGGGCAGACUAGAGUGAUGUAGGGGAGACUGGAAUUCCUGGUGUAGCGGUGAAAUGCGCAGAUAUCAGGAGGAACACCUAUUGCGAAGGCAGCUCGCUGGGACGUAACUGACGCUGAGACGCGAAAGCGUGGGGAGCGAACAGG
rnacentral:rRNA from 1 species